rnacentral:rRNA from 1 species
CCUACGGGAGACAGCAGUGGGGGAUAUUGCACAAUGGGGGAAACCCUGAUGCAGCGACGCCGCGUGUGGGAAGACGGUCCUCUGGAUUGUAAACCACUGUCCUCAGGGACGAAGAUGAUGGUACCUGGGGAGGAAGCUCCGGCUAACUACGUGCGAGCAGCCGCGGUAAUACGUAGGGAGCAAGCGUUGUCCGGAAUUACUGGGUGUAAAGGGAGCGUAGGCGGGAUGGCAAGUUGGGUGUUAAAUCUACCAGCUCAACUGGUAGUCGCACUCAAAACUGCUAUUCUUGAGUGAAGUAGAGGCAGGCGGAAUGCCUGGUGUAGCGGUGAAAUGCGUAGAUAUUAGGAGGAACACCAGUGGCGAAGGCGGCCUGCUGGGCUUUUACUGACGCUGAGGCUCGAAAGUGUGGGGAGCAAACAGGAUUAGAUACCCUUGUAGUC